rnacentral:rRNA from 1 species
CCCUUAGAUGUUCUGGGCGGCCCGCGCACUACAAUGGCGUGUGCAGCGAGUGCCGAAGUAGAGUUUUCCGAGGUAUUCUUGCAAUGCUCGUUUUGAUGGGGAUAGACCCUUGCAACUGUUGGUUUUGAACGAGGAAUUCCUUGUAAGCAUGGUUUAUCAUCCGACGCUGAAUGCGUCCCUGCCCUUUGUACACACCGCCCGUCGCUCCUACCGAUUGAGUGAUCCGGUGAGGCUCUGGGACCUGGACGGAAAGAGCGUUUCGCUUGUUCUGUUUGGGAAACUUGGUCGAACCUUAUCAUUUAGAGGAAGGAGAAGUCGUAACA